AUAUAUAUAUAUAUAUAUAUAUAGAGUUGAGCUAGAAUGCUAUCGGUAGCAAACCGGUUCCGUUGCCACCCAUUUGUUUUCGAUGAUGGAGCCUUUAAAUUGACGAUCGGCACCGUUGAACAUGAUCUAUAUCACUUGAAGUAUCUAGAAACCAAAUUUCAAAUCUCUUCGACAUCAUUAACCUAAUGAUCAAAGGAUUUCAAAUUUUGUAAUUUUAAUGGUAGAUAUGAGGCGUUUUCUCGUUUAACGGUGUAAAGCUAUCCAAAUCAAUUGAACUUUAGUUAGAAAAUUCUUUUAACUAUUUAGAAUAAGAUCUAUACUCUCGAUCUUGAUUACAAUAUUCCUAUCAUCACUUUUUAGAGGAUAUUCAUUUUCAGCCGUUCAUUUUUACGCCCACUUGAUGGACAAGAGAACAAUAUCGGAAAAGCAUGAAAUUUGAUUUCUAGAUACUUCAAGUGGUAUAGAUUAUAUUCAACGGUGCCGAUCAUCGAUUUUGAAGCUCCAUCAUAAAAAACAAAUGUGUGGCAACGGAGCCCGUUUGCUACUGAUAGUAUUCUAGCUCAACUCUCUCUCUCUCUAUAUAUAUAUAUAUAUAUAUAUA
rnacentral:lncRNA from 1 species